rnacentral:rRNA from 1 species
UCUGGUUGAUCCUGCCAGUAGUCAUAUGCUUGUCUCAAAGAUUAAGCCAUGCAUGUCUAAGUAUAAGCAAUUUAUACAGUGAAACUGCGAACGGCUCAUUAAAUCAGUUAUCGUUUAUUUGAUAGUUCCUUUACUACAUGGUAUAACUGUGGUAAUUCUAGAGCUAAUACAUGCUUAAAAUCUCGACCCUUUGGAAGAGAUGUAUUUAUUAGAUAAAAAAUCAAUGUCUUCGGACUCUUUGAUGAUUCAUAAUAACUUUUCGAAUCGCAUGGCCUUGUGCUGGCGAUGGUUCAUUCAAAUUUCUGCCCUAUCAACUUUCGAUGGUAGGAUAGUGGCCUGCCAUGGUUUCAACGGGUAACGGGGAAUAAGGGUUCGAUUCCGGAGAGGGAGCCUGAGAAACGGCUACCACAUCCAAGGAAGGCAGCAGGCGCGCAAAUUACCCAAUCCUAAUUCAGGGAGGUAGUGACAAUAAAUAACGAUACAGGGCCCAUUCGGGUCUUGUAAUUGGAAUGGGUACAAUGUAAAUACCUUAACGAGGAACAAUUGGAGGGCAAGUCUGGUA